rnacentral:snRNA from 1 species
AUACUUACCUGGUACAGGGAUAACCGUGAUCAGGAAGGCGGUUUCCACGGGAAGAGGCCCUUCCAUUGCACUUCGGUUGGGCUGAAGCCUGCGAUAGCCCCAAAUGUGGGUUACUCGGGUACGCCAUUUUUGAGUGUGGGGGACUGCGUUCGCGCUAUCCCUAA